GCUUCUGUUUUUAGGGGAGAUAAGGGCUCAGGUGAGUCAGGGCCAGCAGGUGUACCCGCAUUCCUAUGAGGAUGAGGAGCUCCAUGCCGAGAGCUGGCACACCUUUCCUUGAGCCGGGCGUUGCCUGCCCUGUUGCUACCCUGCCUGAGGUGGGAGGAGAGGCUCAAGCACAGGCUGCAAACAUGCCAAAAAAAAAGGAAAAAAAAAAACAAAAACAAAAA